UAAAAAAUUUGGCGGUAUUUUAGUCUAUUCAGAGGAACCUGUUAUGUAAUCGAUAAUCCACGAUGGACCUUACUUAAAUUUGUUUAGUUUAUAUACCGUCGUUAUUAGAAUAUUUUAUAAGAAUGUUAAUUUUCAUAAUUUUAAAAAAGAAAAUAUAUCAGAUCAAGGUGUAGCUUAUAUUUAAGUAUUAAUGGGUUACAAUAAAAUUAUUUAUACGAAUAUAAAUUUGAAAUGUUUAUUGAAGGUGGAUUUGAUAGUAAAAUUAUAAAGAUUAAUAAUUUGAUUUUAGCUCUAAAAUAUGUACACAUCGCCCGUCACUCUUAUUAUUAAGAUAAGAUAAGUCGUAACAUAGUAGAUGUACUGGAAAGUGUAUCUGGAAUGCAAUUUAAAGCUUAUUCAGUAAAGCAUUUCAUUUACAUUGAAAAGAUUUUUGUGCAAAUCAAUAUAAAUUGAUUAGAUUUUAUUUAUUAAUUUUUUUUUGUUUUUUAAAAUAUUUUAUUAAAAAUAAUUAUAAAAUGAUUGGUUUUAGUAUUUUAUAAAGAAAAAAUAAAUUUAAUAAUAGUGAAUUAGUAUUGUGAAAGAAAAUUGAAAUAAU
rnacentral:rRNA from 1 species